rnacentral:rRNA from 1 species
UGGGAAAUAAAACAAAAUAGAGGAAACCCUGAUGCAGCGACGCCGCGUGAACGAAGAAGGUAUUCGUAUCGUAAAGUUCUGUCCUAUGGGAAGAUAAUGACAGUACCAUAGAAGAAAGCUCCGGCUAAAUACGUGCCAGCAGCCGCGGUAAUACGUAUGGAGCGAGCGUUGUCCGGAAUUAUUGGGCGUAAAGGGUACGCAGGCGGUUUAAUAAGUCGAAUGUUAAAGAUCGGGGCUCAACCCCGCAAAGCAUUGGAAACUGAUAAACUUGAGUAGUGGAGAGGAAAGUGGAAUUCCUAGUGUAGUGGUGAAAUACGUAGAUAUUAGGAGGAAUACCAGUAGCGAAGGCGACUUUCUGGACACAAACUGACGCUGAGGUACGAAAGCGUGGGGAGCAAACAGG